UACGUGGGGUGCGAGCGUGUCCGGAAUUAUUGGGCGUAAAGAGCUUGUAGGCGGUUUGUCGCGUCUGCCGUGAAAAUUCGAGGCUCAACCUCGAACUUGCGGUGGGUACGGGCAGACUAGAGUGUGGUAGGGGAGACUGGAAUUCCUGGUGUAGCGGUGAAAUGCGCAGAUAUCAGGAGGAACACCGAUGGCGAAGGCAGGUCUCUGGGCCACUACUGACGCUGAGAAGCGAAAGCAUGGGGGGCGAACAGG
rnacentral:rRNA from 1 species